GUUGGAAAUUCCAUAUUGGAAGCACAUAACAGCGACAUCGAUGACGACGGCGGAUUGAAGCUCAGAUUUCCGAUGGCAGCGCCCGAUACUUGGAUGGUGGUCGAUCAUCCGAAAAGACUGGUCGUUGGGCUGAUCUGGUGGUGGUUAAAGAUCAGAUUUCAUUCGGGAACCCUUGGUGGCGGUGUCGCUGGCAUAUUUUUGAACUGUGAUUUUGUGGAGGUUUGAUCUGUCGGUGUUGAUUCUAUAUUGAUUUUGAAGUAUAUUAUAGAGUACACAUUUGAAGAAUUAGGGUUCUUACAUAGUGUUUUUUAGGCCAUAAUGCUGAAUCUUCCAACAUCUGAGUUCUGACAUGAUAGAAUCAUGCUCCAUAGCUGGUCCUGGCUUUAUAAACGUUAAGUUAUCAACACAAUGGAUAGCCAAGAGAAUCCAGAAUAUGCUAACAGAUGGCAUUGACACAUGGGCACCAAGGCUCUCUGUCAAAAGGGCGAUAGUUGACUUUUCAUCACCCAACAUUGCAAAGGAAAUGCAUGUAGGUCAUUUGAGGUCAACUAUCAUUGGAGACACGAUAGCCCGUAUGCUUGAGUAUUCUAAAGUUGAUGUGCUUCGCAGAAACCAUGUUGGGGAUUGGGGCACUCAGUUUGGAAUGUUGAUUGACUUUCUCUUUGAGAAGUUCCAGAUGGGGAGGUUACUGAUCAGGAUAUUGGAGAACUAGAGGUACCCAUGUCAAGCUCCCUGGUCCUUUCUUGAAAGAACCAAAUACGAAUUUCACACCUCUUACAAUAAGAUGAUACGGUUCGUAUGAACUAGGAGGCGUUUACAAUAAGACGAUACGGCUUUGUGAGGCUUCAAAGAGUAUUAACAAGUAAAAAUGUGAAGCGACUAAUGGUGACUGCCAUGAAGCAGAUGCAGCUGUUGGUUAGAGUCCAAACACAAAUUCAGUCACGUAGAAUCCAUAUGUCAAAGAAUCAAGCACAAGAACAAUCAUCAUAAGAAGUAAGAUAUAAUUUCUUGGCCUUUUUUCUAAAAUACAUGGCUUUUUGUUUUAACAUAAGAUAUAUUCGCAGUCAAAUUUCUAACAAAAACAGCCAUUUAAUAAGCACCAAAGAGAUUACAAACUA